CAAUAGCGUAUAUUAAAGUUGUUGUAGUUAAAAAGCUCGUAGUUGGAUUUCUGGUCGGAAGCUCCUGUCCUCUGAUGAGCGUACAAGUGCGUCCUACCAUCCUUCUGUUAACCUUUAAGGCUUUCGCGGCUUUCUAGGGGCUCAGAUAUUUUGCCUUGAGAAAAUUAGAGUGUUUCAGGCAGGCUAGCGCCGGAAUACAUUAGCAUGGAAUAAUGGAAUAGGACUUUUGCCUCUUCUGUUGGUCAUGAGGCUCGAGUAAUGAUUAAUAGGGAUAGUUGGGGGCAUUAGUACUUAACUGUCAGAGGUGAAAUUCUCGGAUUUGUUAAAGACUAACUUAUGCGAAAGCAUUUGCCAAGGAUGUUUUCAUUAA
rnacentral:rRNA from 1 species